rnacentral:tRNA from 1 species
AACCGCGUAGCUCAGUUGGCAGAGCAUUGGGCUAGCAUUCCAAAGGUCGUAGGUUCGAUUCCCACCGUGGUCA